rnacentral:rRNA from 1 species
GAAGGGCCUGCGUCCGAUUAGCUAGUUGGUGAGUUAAAAGCCCACCAAGGCGACGAUCGGUAGCUGGUCUGAGAGGAUGAUCAGCCAGACUGGGACUGAGACACGGCCCAGACUCCUACGGGAGGCAGCAGUAGGGAAUUUUCCACAAUGGGGGCAACCCUGAUGGAGCAACGCCGCGUGCAGGAUGAAGGCCUUCGGGUUGUAAACUGCUUUUGUUCGUGACGAUUAUGACGGUAACGAACGAAUAAGGGUCUGCUAACUACGUGCCAGCAGCCGCGGUCAUACGUAGGACCCAAGCGUUAUCCGGAAUUACUGGGCGUAAAGAGUUGCGUAGGUGGCAGAGUAAGCAAAUAGUGAAAGCGUGUGGCUCAACCAUACAUCCAUUAUUUGAACUGCUCAGCUAGAGGACGAGAGAGGUAGAUGGAAUUCCUAAUGUAGGGGUAAUAUCCGUAGAUAUUAGGAGG